GACGAACGCUGGCGGCGUGCCUAAUACAUGCAAGUCGAGCGAAGUUUUUCUGGUGCUUGCACUAGAAAAACUUAGCGGCGAACGGGUGAGUAACACGUAAAGAACCUGCCUCAUAGACUGGGACAACUAUUGGAAACGAUAGCUAAUACCGGAUAACAGUAUUUCUCGCAUGAGAGAUAUUUAAAAGUUGGUUAUGCUAACACUAUGAGAUGGCUUUGCGGUGCAUUAGCUAGUUGGUGGGGUAAAGGCCCACCAAGGCGACGAUGCAUAGCCGACCUGAGAGGGUGAUCGGCCACACUGGGACUGAGACACGGCCCAGACUCCUACGGGAGGUAGCAGUAGGGAAUCUUCCGCAAUGGGCGAAAGCCUGACGGAGCAACGCCGCGUGAGUGAAGAAGGAUUUCGGUUCGUAAAGCUCUGUUGUUAGGGAAGAAUGGAUAUGUAGUAACUAUACAUGUAAGAGACGGUACCUAACCAGAAAGCCACGGCUAACUACGUG
rnacentral:rRNA from 1 species